rnacentral:rRNA from 1 species
AGUGGCGGACGGGUGAGUAACGCGUGAGAAUCUGCCCUUAGGACGGGGACAACAGUUGGAAACGACUGCUAAUACCCGAUGUGCCGAGAGGUGAAAUAUAAUUUGCCUGAGGAUGAGCUCGCGUCAGAUUAGCUAGUUGGUGAGGUAAUGGCUCACCAAGGCGACGAUCUGUAGCUGGUCUGAGAGGAUGAUCAGCCACACUGGGACUGAGACACGGCCCAGACUCCUACGGGAGGCAGCAGUGGGGAAUUUUCCGCAAUGGGCGAAAGCCUGACGGAGCAAGACCGCGUGCGGGAUGAAGGUCUGUGGAUUGUAAACCGCUUUUCUCUGGGAAGAACACAAUGACGGUACCAGAGGAAUCAGCCUCGGCUAACUCCGUGCCAGCAGCCGCGGUAAUACGGAGGAGGCAAGCGUUAUCCGGAAUUAUUGGGCGUAAAGCGUCCGUAGGUGGUUGAGGAAGUCUGCUGUCAAAGCAUGGAGCUUAACUCCAUAAGGGCAGUGGAAACUCCUCGACUAGAGUGCGGUAGGGGUAAGGGGAAUUCCCAGUGUAGCGGUGAAAUGCGUAGAUAUUGGGAAGAACAUCGGUGGCGAAGGCGCCUUGCUGGACCUGCACUGACACUGAGGGACGAAAGCUAGGGGAGCGAAAGGGAUUAGAUACCCCUGUAGUCCUAGCUGUAAACGAUGGAAACUAGGUGUUG